GGAAAAAACCCUGAUGAAAAUAAAAAUGGAAGAAGAUUUCUGUUCGCUUAAAUUGUAUCCAUGUAGAAAUAAUCCCUCACACGGGGAGACACAUCUGAACUGACCUCUGGAGUGGAGAAUUAUGUCACAUAAUAAAUAACCACAGUGAGUAACGGCAGGCACGAGGUUCACGGAGAUUUUUCCAGGAAUGCCGCAGGCAGAAUUCCUACAGGUUAUAUUCAAAUUCAUGUUACUGUAUUCCUACCGGCAGAAAGGGUUAACAUGAAUUUAAAAAAACCUUUUUUCACAGUAUAUAUUAGUAGAUUGCCAAACCGGUUGGUCUUGGUUUCAGCAGCGUGACCGCUUCCUGUUCUGAGGCUUGUUGCCAGGCAGCUGCUUGCCCGCAGAUACUAAGCGCUGCAACUCACAGAACGACAGCCACACCUCGCAAGUCAAUAUUCACCUGACUAACCAAAUGAAGCAAAGAGGAAACAAAUGUAAAACACAUCCGUGCGCAGUCAAGACAUCCUUGUGGAAUUAAGAACCACAGAAUUUUGGAUCGCUUGUCAUCAUCAUGGCUGCAGAUGCUGAUUGGGGAGGGGGCGCAGUGACAUCUACAUCAAGUCAACAGAAAGAGCUACAAAGUUUGUGAUCGUCUGUCGACAUCAUGGCUGAAGGUGGUACCUGGGGAGGUGAUUCAGGGACCUCUACAUCAAAGAAACAAAAAGGUUUGUGAGCCUUCUGUGACAUAUAUAUGAUGCCCUGACAGCGCGUGUGUACCUGAUGCAAGAAAUGAGGUUCACACAGAAGUUGGAAUAGGGAAGGGGGUGAGCCCCGAGAAUACCAUACACCACAACAGGUGGGUUGAUGCAGGAAUUGUCUGAUAAAUCAGCACUUUCUUUGGGAACAAAUGAUUUGACUUGCUGCGAACGUUAUCAGAGUCCAAAAUCAGAUCCUGCACAGAAAUGUGUCUUUGCACUGCCUGCCACCUGUCAUUUUCGCUACACUAAUCCCAUUUCUGAGCACUGGUCUGUCGCCUACUACCAUAUAACCAUAUAACCAUAUAACAAUUACAGCACGGAAACAGGCCAUCUCGACCCUUCUAGUCCGUGCCGAACACAUAAUCUCCCCUAUUCCCAUAUACCUGCGCUCAGACCAUAACCCUCCAUUCCCUUCCCAUCCAUAUAACUAUCCAAUUUAUUUUUAAAUGAUAAAAACGAACCUGACUCCACCACCUUCACUGGAAGCUCAUUCCACACAGCUACCACUCUCUGAGUAAAGAAGUUCCCCCUCAUGUUACCCCUAAACUUCAGUCCCUUAAUUAAUUCUCAAGUCCUACUAUUCAUUUACUGUUCGAAUGGACAUCCAGGUGCUCCUACAAUGUUGUGACAGAGUACCUGCCUCCAACACCACCCCAGACAGUGUGUCCCUGACUGCAGCCAUCACUGCUGAAAGAUUCUUCCUGAAAGAUCAUCCUCUAAACCUCAUGGUUCCCGCAUUAAGUCUAUCCCCCCUGGUGUUAACCACAUCUACUGUGGAGGAAAAUAUUUUUUCCGUCGACGCUACUUCUCAUAGUCUUCUGCACCUCUAUCAAAUCACUGCCUGUCCGCCCCAGCUUAUAACCAUAUAACCAUAUAACAAUUACAGCACGGAAACAGGCCAUCUCGGCCCUACAAGUCCAUGCCGAACAAAUUUUUUCCCCUUUGUCCCACCUGCCUGCAUUCGUACCAUAACCCUCCAUUCCCUUCUCAUCCAUAUGCCUAUCCAAUUUAUUUUUAAAUGAUACUAAUGAACCUGCCUCCACCACUUCCACUGGGAGCUCAUUCCACACCGCCACCACUCUCUGCGUAAAGAAGUUCCCCCUCAUAUUACCCCUAAACUUCUGUCCCUUAAUUCUGAAGUCAUGUCCUCUUGUUUGAAUCUUCCCUAUUCUCAAAGGGAAAAGCUUGUCCACAUCAACUCUGUCUAUCCCUCUCAUCAUUUUAAAGACCUCUAUCAGGUCCCCCCUUAACCUUCUGCGCUCCAGAGAAUAAAGACCUAACAUUCAACCUAUCUCUGUAACUUAGUUGUUGAAACCCAGGCAACAUUCUAGUAAAUCUCCUCUGUACUCUCUCUAUUUUGUUGACAUCCUUCCUAUAAUUGGGCGACCAAAAUUGUACACCAUACUCCAGAUUUGGUCUCACCAAUGCCUUGUACAAUUUUAACAUUACAUCCCAGCUUCUAUACUCAAUGCUCUGAUUUAUAAAGGCUAGCAUACCAAAAGCUUUCUUUACCACCCUAUCUAUAUGAGAUUCCACCUUCAAGGAACUAUGCACGGUUAUACCCAGAUCCCUCUGUUCAACUGUAUUCUUCAAUUCCCUACCAUUUACCAUGUACGUCCUAUUUUGAUUUGUCCUGCCAAGGUGUAGCACCUCACAUUUAUCAGCAUUAAACUCCAUCUGCCAUCUUUCAGCCCAUUUUUCCAAAUUUUUCCAAUUCAAGGAAGACGACUUAAAUCACUCCAGUCUCUGCUGAUAAUUGAAAUAUUCAUUUACGAGCAAUAUCCUGAUGAAUCGCUGCACCUUCUCCAGUACAAAGGCAUCCUUCCCACAGUAUG